rnacentral:rRNA from 1 species
UACGUAGGUCCCGAGCGUUGUCCGGAUUUAUUGGGCGUAAAGCGAGCGCAGGUGGUUCCUUAAGUCUGAUGUGAAAGCCCACGGCUCAACCGUGGAGGGUCAUUGGAAACUGGGAGACUUGAGUGCAGAAGAGGAAAGUGGAAUUCCAUGUGUAGCGGUGAAAUGCGUAGAGAUAUGGAGGAACACCAGUGGCGAAGGCGACUUUCUGGUCUGUAACUGACACUGAGGCGCGAAAGCGUGGGGAGCAAACAGG